rnacentral:rRNA from 1 species
GACGGAGGGUGCUAGCGUUGUUCGGAAUCACUGGGCGUAAAGGGCGCGUAGGCGGCCUCAGGUGUCGGAUGUGAAAGCCCGGGGCUCAACCCCGGAGGUGCAUCCGAAACUCUGGGGCUGGAGGUCGGAAGAGGAGGGUGGAAUACCCAGUGUAGAGGUGAAGUUCGUAGAUAUUGGGUGGAACACCGGUGGCGAAAGCGGCUCUCUGGUCCGGACCUGACGCUGAGGCGCGAAAGCGUGGGGAGCAAACAGG